rnacentral:lncRNA from 1 species
GGUUCUCUUUAAAGAAUAGUGAGAGGAGUCGAGGGUUGGGGGGGCCUGCAGAAAAACCUCUACCAUGGUGUUCAAUGUGAAAAAAAUUAUGCCUUCAAAAUCCAUGUUAGUGAAUGAUUCACUUAGUAUUUUUAAUCUUUUAGAAUACCAUAUCUUCUAUCUAUCAUGAAGAACAUGGCUUUCUAAUUGCCUAAUCUAAUCUUUGACCCC